rnacentral:rRNA from 1 species
UACGUAGGGUGCAAGCGUUAAUCGGAAUUACUGGGCGUAAAGCGUGCGCAGGCGGUUUUGUAAGUCUGUCGUGAAAUCCCCGGGCUCAACCUGGGAAUUGCGAUGGAGACUGCAAGGCUAGAAUCUGGCAGAGGGGGGUAGAAUUCCACGUGUAGCAGUGAAAUGCGUAGAGAUGUGGAGGAACACCGAUGGCGAAGGCAGCCCCCUGGGUCAAGAUUGACGCUCAAGCACGAAAGCGUGGGGAGCAAACAGG